rnacentral:rRNA from 1 species
GGCGGGCGGGUGAGUAACGCGUGGGAAUCUACCCAGUAGUGGGGGACAACUACCGGAAACGGUAGCUAAUACCGCAUACGCCCUAUGGGGGGAAGGCUUCGGCCGCUAUUGGAUGAGCCCGCGUCAGAUUAGCUAGUUGGUAGGGUAAAGGCCUACCAAGGCAACGAUCUGUAGCUGGUCUGAGAGGACGAACAGCCACACUGGGGCUGAGACACGGCCCAGACUCCUACGGGAGGCAGCAGUGGGGAAUAUUGGACAAUGGGCGAAAGCCUGAUCCAGCAAUGCCGCGUAUGUGAAGAGGGCCUGCGGGUUGUAAAGCACUUUCAGUUGGGAAGAUGAUGACGUUACCAACAGAAGAAGCACCGGCUAAAUCCGUGCCAGCAGCCGCGGUAAUACGGAUGGUGCGAGCGUUAAUCGGAAUUACUGGGCGUAAAGCGCGC